GCCUGGAUGGUGGAAUAGGUAGACACAGGAGACUUAAAAUCUCCCGGCUUCGGCCAUGCCGGUUCAAGUCCGGCUCCGGGCACCA
rnacentral:tRNA from 1 species